GGCAGAAUGGCCGAGUGGUCUAUGGCGACGGUCUCAAGCACAGCAUAUGCGCUUUCGUCUGCGAAAAGCAGCGUUCCGUUCACGAAAGUGGCCGGGGUUCGAAUCCCCGUUCUGUCA
rfam:Pochonia chlamydosporia 170 chromosome 1, whole genome shotgun sequence.